UUUUUUUUUUUUUUUUUGAGUCAGGGUCUCACCUUGUCACCCAGGCUGGAGUGCAGUGGUGCAGUCACGGCUCACUGCAGCCUUGACUUCCCAGGCUCAAGUGAUCCUCCCGCCUCAGCCUCCUGAGUAGGUGAGACGACAGGUAUGUGCCACCAUACCUGGCUAAUUUUUGUAUUUUUUGUAGAGACAGGGUUUCACCAUGUUGCCCAGGCUGGUCUUAAAUUCCUGGGCUCAAGCGAUCUGCCUGCCCCAGACUCCUGAAAUGCUGGGAUUACAGCCGUGAGCCACUGGGCCCAGCUGUCCCUGCGUGUUAUUGCCCCUGAAGACCUUCCAGCAGGGCAAGAUGAGGAGGUGGGAGACAGAAAUAUCCAUGAAUCUGACCCUUUGUAGGCCUAGGCUAAUGUGUGUAAUUGUGUCUUAGUUUUUAACAAAAAAGUUUUAAAAAAAUUUAAAAUACAAAGAAGUUUGUGGAACAAGGAUAUAAAGAAAGAAUAUAUUUUUAUACAGUUCUGCAAUUAGUUUGUGCUUUAAGCUAAGUGUGAUCACAAAAGAGUCAAAAAGUUAAAAAUUUUUAAAAAUUUAUAUAGUAAAAAGUUAUAGUAAGCUAAGGAUAAUUUAUUAUUGAAGAAAGAAAAAUAUUAUUUAAUAAAUUUAGUGUAGCCUAAGUGUAGAGUGUUUGUAAAGUCUAUAGUAGUGUGCAGGGUAUGUCCUAGGGCUUCACAUUCACUCACCACUCACUCACUGACUCAGCUUCCAGUUCUGCAAGCUGCAUUCAUGGUAAGUGCCUUAUACAAGUGUAGUUUUUAAAUCUUUUAUACUCGAUUUUUACUGUACCUUUUUAAUGUUUAUAUACAUAAAUACUUGCCAUUGUCUUACAACUGCCUACAGUAUUCAAUACAGUAACGUGCUGUGCAAGUCUGUAACCCUAGGAGCAACAGGCUAGACCAUAUAGCCUAGCUGUGUAGGAGGUGGUAUCAUCCAGGUUUGUGUAAGUACUCUAUGAUGUUCGUACAAGGAUGAAAUUGCCUAAUGAUGCGUUUCUCAGAACAUAUCUCCGUUGUUGGGCAAUACGUGAUUGUAUAAUGUGAGACGACAUUUGCAAAAACACUCAUGUCCACUAAACCACUGGGCAGGGGUGUUGUCUGUGUUCUAAAUUAUGGUGAGGGCUGGCUACUGGUUGCACUCCCAUAAUCCUAGCAUUUUGGGAGGCUGAGGUGGGAGGGUGGCUUGAACCCAGGAGUUUGAGACCAGUCUGGGCAAUACAGUGAGACCCUAACUUUCAAAAACUGAAAGAAAAAUUAACUGGGUGUGGUGGCACGUGCCUGUGGUCCCAGCUACUCGGGAGGCAGAGGUGAGCAGCUUGUUUGAGCCCAGGAAAUCAUAUCAGUGGGGCGUGUAGGAGAUAGAGGGAGGCCAAUGUGUGACGGCUAGCCCAUACCUCUUUCUGUGACCGCCACUCCUGCAAACCAGGUAAAUUCUCAGUUCAGCUUAGCAAACAUUCUAUGAGCACGUACCAUGGACAAGCCCUUCUCUGGGUUCUAGGGUACAUCAUUUCACAUGCUGGCUCCUGCCCCAAGACACUCACUGAUUACGGCUCUCUGGGGAGGGAGUGCUAUUUACACAAAUGCGAACUGGUCUAAUAUCAUCCAAUAAAAACUCAAAAGAUCACCAAGCAGGGGGGAAAAAGCACAACCAGACACCUUAACACAGGGAGAGGAAAUUUUGUUCAUUCAGCAUUUAUUAAUCGCACACACAGCUCUGUCUGCAGACUAGACACUGAAACACACAAUUGUCAAAAACUAGAAAAACGAGUUAUGUCCACAUUUUAAAAAAAGCAAAACUUUAUAAAUUCCUUAGCACACUCAUACCCAAGUUUUAUCCCACAAAGUAUAGCAUGAAACAAUGACAACAUAAAUAUUCAAGUAAAAUGCUAUUUAAAAUAGCUGCACAUAGGUAAUUAAAACACUAGGAUCCAGUUUUUAGAGGAAAAAGUCAUGUGGCACAAUUUCAAGUUCCUAAUUGAAGUUAACAAUAAAACAGAUUUGCUUACAUUUGCUUCUGAUCUUUAUUUCUGCUGUGUCUCUUUAGUAGAAUAAAGAAAUGGCACUUCACAUAAAAUCAUAUUUAAAAGCUACUAAAAUGCAUGAACAGAUGCAGAUCAGCUCUUUAAUGAGAAUCCCUGCAUAGCUGGAGGAAGUUCAAGGAGAACCGUUUUUUCAAGGCCAAUAGAAUCUUGUCAUAUGCCUAAUUUCAUCUACAUUAUCAUCGCUGGGAAGUUCCUGCUGAGAACUCAUGGUAGCAAUGCUGGAAAAGUACUUUCUUCACAGGAGGUGUUCAGUAAAAUGCAAUAAUGCCUGAUAAAUGCAAGUAAUGUCAAUAUCUCCCUCUUGGUCUAGAUCAGGAGCUGGCAAACUUUUUCUUUAAGAAGACAAGUAGUAAAUACUUUAGGCUAUAAAAUAGCAUAAAUUUUGCAGGCUAUACUGUCCCUGUCCCGACUCUUCAACUCUGCCAAGAAAGCAGUCCCAGACCAUAUCAUAAAUGAAUGGGUGUGGCUAUGCUCUAAUAACAUUUUAUUUAUGGACACUGAAAUCUGAAUUUCAUAGAAUUUUCAGGUGCCAUGAAAUAUUGUUCUUCUUUUGAUUUUCUGCCCAAUCGUUUGAAAACAUAUAAACCAUUCUUAGUUCACGGGUUAUAUAAAAACAGGUGCCAGGCCAGGUUUGGUUCGUGGGCCAUAGUUUGCCAACCCCUGAUCUAAUGGUCCUUUUCUACUCUGUGUUGUAAAAUGUAUAUAUUUUUAAAAUCCCAUUACAUAUGGCUACUUUAUUUAAAAACAAAAAUGUUCAGUUAAAAACACUUCUCUUUCUUCCCACAACCAAUGACCAUUUUACUAAACAAUAAGCUAUUUCCUUUAAUUAGAAAAUCGAUCAAGGAUAUACAAUGAGUCUCUGGCCUCAAUUUAUGAACCCAUGAGCCAAAUAUGCAAGAAGACUCAAAACGUGCCACCCAGCCAAAGAAUCUACUGGCUUACAAUGUUAAAAAUUUAUUUAGAAGUAUUCCUGCACACUUCUCAGCAUUGGUAAUCCAGUUAUAAAAAAUAAUGUUGGAGCAUUUAUAUUCUUAAUAGAAAAAGAAUGGAUAUAUCUAAAUCAUAAGUAAUUAAAAUGUUAUAUAAAACCACCUAAAAACUAUACAAAUAAAGAGCAGACAUUAACUGCCAAAAUGCUGAGUAUGUGAUUCUUGACAGGGCCAGGGCAGUGUCACUAGGAAGAAUUUCAGCUCUUCCUUCUCCUUGAGACCUUGGGGAUGUGGCUAGUACACCCCAGGCCAGAUGCUAGGCAGUUUCCUGUGUGCACAGGGACUUGCCAGACCUUUAGUUACUCAACCAUAGCUUCCCAGUGGCUCAAUGAGGGAUGUUAAAUCCUAGGUGGGGUUCAGGAGGAAUUGCAUCUAGCAUUACUUUCAUUCACAUUUUCCUUCCACAACCCAGAAUAACCACAAGAUGUAAGUGGAGUCUCCAGAGAGAGAUGGGGAAAGGAAGGCGCUUCAUCUCCAC
rnacentral:lncRNA from 1 species